GUGAGGAAUUUUCCGCAAUGGGCGAAAGCCUGACGGAGCAAUGCCGCGUGAAGGAUGAAGGCCUAUGGGUUGUAAACUUCUUUUCUCAGAAAAGAAUUAUGACGGUAUCUGAGGAAUAAGCAUCGGCUAACUCUGUGCCAGCAGCCGCGGUAAGACAGAGGAUGCAAGCGUUAUCCGGCAUGAUUGGGCGUAAAGCGUCUGUAGGUUGUUUAAAAAGUAUUCUGUCAAAGAUUAGGGCUUAACCCUAGAUAGGCAGAAUAAACUUUUAAGCUAGAGUUUGGUAGAGGCAGAGGGAAUUCCCGGUGGAGCGGUGAAAUGCGUAGAUAUCGGGAGGAACACCAAAGGCGAAGGCACUCUGCUGGGCCAAUACUAACACUGAGAGACGAAAGCGAGGGGAGCAAAUGGGAUUAGAUACCCGUGUAGUCC
rnacentral:rRNA from 1 species